AGGACUAACGCUGGCGGCGUGCCUAACACAUGCAAGUCGAGCGGGGUAGCAAUACCCAGCGGCAGACGGGUGAGUAACGCGUGGUCAACCUUCCGUUGAAUGGGGGAUAACUAGCCGAAAGGUUAGCUAAUACCGCAUACGAUCUUUUGAAGGCAUCUUUAAAAGAUGAAAGGAGCAAUUCGUUCAACGACGGGACCGCGUCCCAUUAGCUAGAUGGUGGGGUAAUGGCCUACCAUGGCAACGAUGGGUAGCUGGUUUGAGAGAGCGACCAGCCACACUGGGACUGAGAAACGGCCCAGACUCCUACGGGAGGCAGCAGUGAGGAAUUUUUCCGCAAUGGGCGAAAGCCUGACGGAGCGACGCCGCGUGUGGGAAGAAGGCCUUCGGGUCGUAAACCACUGUCGAAGGGGACGAUAAUGACGGUACCUUGGAGGAAGCCCCGGCUAACUACGUGCCAGCAGCCGC
rnacentral:rRNA from 1 species